GACGAACGCUGCCGGCGUGUUUACCACAUGCAAGUCAACGAAAAGCGGAAAGAGCUUGCUCUUUUCAGAAUUGAGUGGCAAACGGGUGAGUAACACGUAAACAACCUGCCUUCAGGAUGGGGCAACAGACGGAAACGACUGCUAAUACCGAAUAAGUUCCAAGAGCCGCAUGGCCCAUGGAAGAAAAGGUGGCCUCUACCUGUAAGCUAUCGCCUGAAGAGGGGUUUGGUCUGAUUAGUGGUUGGAGGGGUAACGGCCCACCAAGGCGACGAUCAGUAGCCGGUCUGAGAGGAUGAACGCCACACUGGAAUGAACACGGUCCAGACUCCUACGGGAGGCAGCAGUGGGAAUCUUCCCAAUGGCAAAGCCUGACGGACACGCCGCGUGAUGAUACGGCCUUCGGGUUGUAAAACUCUGUGAUCCGGGACGAAAAGGCAGAGUGCGAAGAACAAACUGCAUUGACGGUACCGGAAAAGCAAGCCACGGCU
rnacentral:rRNA from 1 species